CGCUUUCACCCUGUAUUGAUGACCAGAAGAAAUUUCACAGAGUUCCCACUGUGGCAACUCCGUAGUGAAGAAUGGUCGGGAGACGUCAUGAUGCUUACACAAAAAAUCUUUACAUGUCACAUGAUUUUUGAAACCUCUCAUUUAAAGAGCAAAUCAGCACACCAAAUCUCCAAAACCAUAAGCUAUUUCUCAGCCUUUCACUCAGUUUCCAAUUGCAUAAAACACUGUUUUGAAAACAUUAAACACAAUUCUCUAC